CCCUUAGAUGUUCUGGGCCGCACGCGCGCUACACUGAUGCAUUCAACGAGUCUAAAACCUGGUCUGAUAGGGCUGGGUAAUCUUUUGAAAGUGCAUCGUGAUUGGAAUAGAUGAUUGCAAUUCUUCAUCUUCAACGAGGAAUGCCUAGUAAACGCAAGUCAUCAGCUUGCAUUGAUUACGUCCCUGCCCUUUGUACACACCGCCCGUCGCUCCUACCGAUUGAAUGAUCCGAUGAAUACCAUGGAUUGAGAGUACGAAUGGGUUCGCUCAUUUCUGCUGCUCGAGAAGUGGAGUAAAUCUUAUCAUUUAGAGGAAGGAGAAGUCGUAACA
rnacentral:rRNA from 1 species